rnacentral:rRNA from 1 species
AGCAGCCGCGGUAAUUCCAGCUCCAAUAGCGUAUAUUAAAGUUGUUGCAGUUAAAAAGCUCGUAGUUGAAUUUCGGAAUCUGUCCAUCGGUCGGGCUUCACUGUCCGUACUGGUGUGGUGGGUUCUUACCUUCUGAAUAACCAGCAUGCCAUCCACUUGGUGCGUUGGGGAAGCAGGACUAUUACCUUGAAAAAUUAGAGUGCUCAAAGCAGGCUAGCGCCUGAAUACAUUAGCAUGGAAUAAUAAAAUAGGACGGCAUGGUUCUAUUUUGUUGGUUUCUAGGAUCACCGUAAUGAUUAAUAGGGAUAGUUGGGGGCAUUAGUAUUCAAUUGUCAGAGGUGAAAUUCUUGGAUUUAUUGAAGACUAACUUCUGCGAAAGCAUUUGCCAAGGAUGUUUUCAUUAAUCAAGAACGAAAGUUAGGGGAUCGAAGACGAUCAGAUACCGUCGUAGUCUUAACCAUAAACUAUGCCGACUAGGGAUCGGACGAUGUUAAUUUUUAAUGUACUCGUUCGGUCG